CCGAUGGCGAAGGCAGCNUCCUGGGAUAACACUGACGUUCAUGCCCGAAAGCGUGGGUAGCAAACAGGAUUAGAUACCCUGGUAGUNCACGCCCUAAACGAUGUCGAUUAGCUGUUGGGCAGCAUGACUGCUUAGUAGCGAAGCUAACGCGUGAAAUCGACCGCCUGGGGAGUACGGUCGCAAGAUUAAAACUCAAAGGAAUUGACGGGGACCCGCACAAGCGGUGGAUGAUGUGGAUUAAUUCGAUGCAACGCGAAGAACCUUACCUGGUCUUGACAUGUACGGAACCCUCCAGAGACGGAGGGGUGCCUUCGGGAGCCGUAACACAGGUGCUGCAUGGCUGUCGUCAGCUCGUGUCGUGAGAUGUUGGGUUAAGUCCCGCAACGAGCGCAACCCUUGUCAUUAGUUGCCAUCAUUAAGUUGGGCACUCUAAUGGGACUGCCGGUGACAAGCCGGAGGAAGGUGGGGAUGACGUCAAGUCCUCAUGGCCCUUAUGACCAGGGCUUCACACGUCAUACAAUGGUCGGUACAGAGGGUAGCCAAACCGCGAGGUGGAGCCAAUCUCACAAAACCGAUNGUAGUCCGGAUUGCACUCUGCAACUCGAAUGCAUGAAGUCGGAAUCGCUAGCAAUCGCAGGUCAGCAUACUGCGGUGAAUACGUUCCCGGGUCUUGUACACACCGCCCGUCACACCAUGGGAGUGGGGGAUACCAGAAGUAGGUAGGGUAACCGCAAGGAGCCC
rnacentral:rRNA from 1 species